rnacentral:misc_RNA from 1 species
AAGUCGUAACAAGGUUUCCGUAGGUGAACCUGCGGAAGGAUCAUCAAAAUAAAGGGGAGGGGUAAGUGUGCAGCGCCCACGGGAAGCUGCUCCGACCUCCCCAUCCACCACACCUGUGUUUUGGUGCGGAGCGUGGGUGCGCAGGCAGCAAUGCCAGCCGCCCACACCUCACACACACCACACACACCAACCAACCACACAUACACAACCAGUACAACUGUUAGCAACGGAUCACUUGGUUCUC